AUUCUGUUAUGUGGACAUUUCCUAAACAAUUCCUUAAAACCUUCCCAUGCUUCAAACAUUGUUUAUGAUUCAAGUUGCUUGAAAUUGCAAAUCUCCUUCAUCAUUCU